rnacentral:lncRNA from 1 species
UUUUCCAUUGCAUUAGGUCCUUCCAAUUCUCAAAAACUGCCCAAUGGAUGAUUGUCACUUAUUAAUUUCUUGGGAGGCCUUCCCCUCCUCUUCUUGGGGUUUCCAUCCUCCUCCACACUUACCUUGUUAAUUCCUUGCUUUUUCCUUUGCUCACACAUAGACAAUGAUUCUCUCUUAGUCAUGUUUUCCUUGUUUCCUCGUUUCGGUUUUGGUGGCCUUCCUCGCCGCCCCAGACUCCGAGCAUGCUUUGAUGGAUCCAAAUCUUCAUGUGCCAAUAACAUUGGUUUAGGAAGCUGAUAAUCACCAGUGAUAGGAGAAGUAACCAACUCGCCUCUCUCAAGGAGCUUGCCAAGAUGGUGAGAGAGAAGGCUCUCAUGAGCCCAAGCCAGAUCAUGGAACUCUGACUUAAUAUUAGCGGAUAUAGCAGCUUUGUUUGCACCACCUUCCUCAUAAUUCAGUGAGUUAAUGGCUUUAAAUAUCAUCUGCGAUUUAUUACAGAGUGUGUGUAUAAAUAAAUAAAUAAAUAUAUAUAUAUAUAUAAAUAUAUAUAUAGAGAGAGAGAGAUGAAAUGAAACAAAAAAAGAGGGACUAUUAUUUAUACAUUAAUAUAGAAGUUUUUGAACAUUAAUAAAUGUGGGUAUCUUUAUCUUACCUGUGAGUAAGGUGGGUGAUCUGGGGUGUGCAAGUGCAUGUAUGUAUUUCGAAGGCCGGCGUGGAUCUUGUUCAUUUCGUUUUCGUCCCUGCACAGUGGGUGCGUUUGUUUGGAUGAAGCUAGUUCAACAGUCUUGUUGAGUUGAGGGGUGUUGCUGUUGCAUCCCUCCCUUUUCCUGUCCCAUAUCAACGCCAUUUGUCCUCCUCUCCUCUCUCCUUCCCUUGAGCUAGCUCUCUAUAGAUAUAGAAUAGAAUCAUGCAUUCGGAAGAUAAUUAGGGGCCCACUUGAAAGGACUUCAUAAGUUCUGAAUUCCCACCGCACCCCGCAGAAAAAGUAUUCUCAAAAUGUCUGCUGACUGACUCUGCUGCAUAUUUGGUUUAGCAGAAUUUUUAAAGUCUUAAUAUUUUAAAUAGCACAAUUUGUAAAUGAAUGAACCACUUGUUGGGAGGCUGUAGCAUUUGCCGAAACUUUCAUUAAGUGCUAAAGUUUUGGAUUAAAAGCUAAUGAUUGCAAGAAAUUCAUUCUUUACUGUUUUCAUUAA